rnacentral:lncRNA from 10 species
AUAUCCAAGAUUUUCUUCACUGCUCAGAAGAUUCCUCAUGCUCCUUUGCCUCCAUGUGGCCACUGGUUCCUUUUUGAUAUGUAUUUGUUGACUGAUUUAUUUAUUUAUUUAUUUAUUUAUAUAUUUAUUUUGAGACUGAGUUUCACUCUUGUUGCCCAGGCUGGAGUGUAAUGGUGCAAUCUUGGCUCCCGGGUUCAAGCGAUUCUCCUGUCUCGGCCUCCUGAGUAGCUGGGAUUACAGGUGCGCACCACCAUGCCCAGCUAAUUUUGUAUUUUUAGUAGAGACGGGGUUUCUCCAUGUUGGUCAAGCUGGUCUCGAACUCCCGACCUCAGGUGAUCCGCCCACCUUGGCAUCCCAAAGUGCUGAGAUUACAGGCGUGAGCCACUGCACCCGGCCGACUAAUUCAUUUUUUAAACACACUUCUUACCUGGGAAUAAAUUUAAACUUGCAAAAGAGUUGCAGAGGUACAGAGAGUUCCCAUAUGCCCUUCAUCCAGGUCCCUCUAAUGUUCAUGCUUUACACGACCCCAGCACAUCCGCCAAAAAAAAAAAAAAAUUAACACUGGUACAAUAAUUAACUGACAGGCUUUCUUUGGAUUUCAUCAUCUUUCCACUAACGUUCUUUGCCUGUGCUGGGAUCCAAUGCAGGGGCACCGUCCUGCAUUUACUUCCCUCUCUGUUAACUGCAGAGAAGGGUUUCUGUUUUCCUGGUUGGACCCUGAUUAAUAUUCCCCUAGUAUCUGAACUCCAGGUGCCCAGGAAGGUUGGGGGGCAAGGAUGUGCUGCCCACUGGGGAAGGAGUGGCUGGCAGAAUCGACAUCCGUCUGUUCCUCCACAAUCCAAGGUCACAGAACACAUGGGCAGUUAUUCUGGGUUUUUCCAUAAGAAGGGUGAUACAGAGCUGUCGUUGUUCCAUAUUAUGAGGACCCCUCCACCUUUGCAUUCCUCUAAGACCUUUCCUCUGAGACUCUCCUCCAAGCUGGAGAAGACAAGCUACAUGCUUAUGUCCAAGGCAUGCUGCAGAUUCAGCAUGGCACAGCUCCCUCACUCAAAAACGUUACUUGAUGUGGGAUGCACAGGCAUAGAGUAGUGAUUCUCACACUAGACUCAGAUACAUACACAAUAUUUGCAACUUAAAUUAAACACCAAUUAAAUGUCAAGUGGAAAGACAACAUCUACAGAAAUAAAAUGACACAAGAUGCAAUGUGAAAUGUCAUUAAAAGAAGAGUUUGCAUUAGAAUAGUUCAAAUAUUUCAAAACUAUUCCAGCACGUCACUGCGUUGCUGACCUAUCUUCCUCCUGAGAUGUGGUCGCCGUAAUGAUCUCAAGCUUGGACCUCGUGGACAGACUGGGGAACUCAAGCUAAACCCCGGUCCUCACAGUUCAGCACGUUGCAAUCCUGUGUCGUUCCGUCCAAUCUAAUCCAAUCUCAAGGACCCCAGUUCCUGAGCAACCCUGGCUUGGCUCGGCCAAAGGGAAGCGUCUACAGAAUCUGAGUCUAGAAUGCCCGGAGGGUUUACCAAGACAUAGCGGGUGUCAUAGAUGUGAAAAAGCUUCUGCUAUACCAGGGUCAGGAACGGAGCAAAACUGAAAACCGCACAGGAUGUGGUCUGCCAGGUGCCAGCAUCACAGCUCAAAUCCUUAAGAAGCUCCAGCCGCAGGCACGGAAAUAAACAGCUUCUCCCUGCCCUGUAUACGUCUCCGAUUUUACCCAGGAUGGGGCUGAGGAAGCAACACAGAUUCCCAAACGUUACUUUUUUUUUUUUAUUUUGCUUGAGAGCCAAGGCAAUAUUAGACAAGCCUUACUCCCUAAUUAGUGCCUGACAAGAACCAUAUCUCUGUCCCAAUCCUUCUAUUCAAAGUAGGCACAAUUUGCUUUUACCAAAUGUAAAACUCAUGUCAAAGCCAUGCUGUGAGUAUUUACACCAGAGAAAUCGGCAAAUGCUACACGUCGGGGUUGUUUUUUGUUUUUCUUUUUGCUUUUUUUUUCAGAGAGCUGAUUGUCAAGACUUUACCAGCACACUGCUGGUAAAUUUCCAAAGGCCAAUUUAAAGAAAUUUUUUUAACAGAACAUGUAAAAAAAAAUCAACGUGAAGUCAACAUGCUCCAGGGAAAUCAGACAAUUGAUAAAGCAUGUCUAUUUCUGUAGUGUAUACUCCAGCCUGUUUCCCCCUCCUACCUCAGGUACCGUAACCAGCAUCUGAAGUCUUAUAUUCAAAUUUCCCUUGCACUUUUGUAAAUAUAGUGUUCUCUCAUCGAUGUACCUAUUUGGUGUGUAUGUAUAUGUGUGUGUAUAUAUAUAUAUGCUAUCAUUUAAAAAUUGUAUUUAUUUAUUUAAGGUGGGUCACCGAGGCUGGAGUGCAAUGGUGCAAUCUCAGCUCACUGCAGCCUCCACUUCCCAGGCUCCAGCGAUCCUCCUGCCUCAGCCUUCUGAGUAGCUGGGAUUAUAAGGGUGUGACCCCAUACCCAGCUAAUUUUUGUAUGUUUAGUAGAGAUGGGGUUUCGCCAUGUUGACCAGGCUGGUCUUGAACUCCUGCCCUCAGGUGAUCUGCCCGCCUCAGCCUCCCAAAGUGCUGGAAUUACAGGCAUGAGCUACUGUGCCCAGCCUCGUUUUUAAUUUUAGUGCAAAGUAUAGUUUUCAAAACAAUGUUUGCAAUGUCAUCAAAUAUAGAAUGAGCACGCAUCAAUGUCUUCUUAAUUCAUUAAUGAUGAAAUCAUCAUUCAAAAUUCCUGUCUUUACCCAAAUAUUUAGCUUCUUCUGUUGCUCUUCAUUUGUUCCUGCGUUUCUCCAUUUCCACUGGGAUGAUUUCCUCUUGUCCAAGCCUUUUAUUCUGGCAACCAAUGAACUUUACACUCUUUCUAUAGUUUUGCCUUUUCCAGAAUGUCACAUAGUUGGAAUCAGACAGUGGAUACGCCAUUUGGGCGGGCUUAUUUCGUGUAGUGAUAUACAUUGAACUCUCCUCCACAUCUUUUCAUGACUUGAGAGCUUGUGUCUUCUUAGCAUGGGAUAAUAUUCCAUUGUCUGGACACAUAGUUAAUCCACUCACUUACUGAAGGGCAUCUUGGUUGCUUCCAAGUUUGGGCGAUUAUGAAUAAAGCUACUGUAAAGAUCCAUAUGACCGUAUGUUUUCAGCUCCCUUCGGUAAAUAUCAAGGAAUGCAAUUGCUGGAUUACAUGGCAAAGCUAUAUUUAGUUUUAGAAGAAAUUGCCGCAC